UUCGACACAAUUUUAUAAUGCCACUUGGCUGAGUUUUAGGGUCCCAUGAACUCAUGUUGGACAAUUGAGAGAGGUAUCCAACAAGGCAAAUAAUGCAGAGCUAAAAUUGUUCUUAGAAGUGGAAAGUGGACAGGAUUUGCGGCCGAUUCCUCCACCUUUGAAGAGCAAAGAGGAGAUUCUUCUUUUUUUCAAACUUUAUGAGCCUCUGAAAGAGGAGCUUAGGUAUGUUGGGCGGUUGUUUGUGAAGUCGAAUGGCAAGCCAGCAGAAAUAUUGACAAAGUUAAAUGAGUUGGCUGGAUUCAGUCCUGAUGAAGAAAUUGAACUCUUUGAGGAAAUAAAAUUUGAACCUAAUGUCAUGUGUGAACGCAUUCAAGAAGCUCACC